rnacentral:rRNA from 1 species
CCUACGGGAGGCAGCAGUGAGGAAUAUUGGUCAAUGGGCGCGAGCCUGAACCAGCCAAGUAGCGUGAAGGAUGACUGAUCUAUGGGUUGUAAACUUCUUUUAUAAAGGAAUAAAGUGAGGAACGUGUUCCUUUUUGUAUGUACUUUAUGAAUAAGCAUCGGCUAACUCCGUGCCAGCAGCCGCGGUAAUACGGAGGAUGCGAGCGUUAUCCGGAUUUAUUGGGUUUAAAGGGUGCGUAGAUGGUUUAUUAAGUCAGUUGUGAAAGUUUGUGGCUCAACCAUAAAAUUGCCGUUGAUACUGGUUGACUUGAGUACAUUAGAGGUAGGCGGAAUGCGUGGUGUAGCGGUGAAAUGCAUAGAUAUCACGAAGAACUCCGAUUGUGAAGGCAGUUCACUAAACUACAACUGACACUGAGGCACGAAAGCGUGGGGAUCAAACAGGAUUAGAUACCCUUGUAGUC